rnacentral:rRNA from 1 species
GACGAACGCUGGCGGCGUGCCUAAUACAUGCAAGUCGAGCGAAUCAAUAGGAGCUUGCUCCUGUUGGUUAGCGGCGGACGGGUGAGUAACACGUGGGCAACCUGCCUGUAAGACUGGGAUAACACCGGGAAACCGGUGCUAAUACCGGAUAAUCCUUUUCCUCUCAUGAGGAAAAGCUGAAAGUCGGUUUCGGCUGACACUUACAGAUGGGCCCGCGGCGCAUUAGCUAGUUGGUGAGGUAACGGCUCACCAAGGCGACGAUGCGUAGCCGACCUGAGGGGGUGAUCGGCCACACUGGGACUGAGACACGGCCCAGACUCCUACGGGAGGCAGCAGUAGGGAAUCUUCCGCAAUGGACGAAAGUCUGACGGAGCAACGCCGCGUGAGUGAUGAAGGCUUUCGGGUCGUAAAACUCUAUUGUUAGGGAAGAAUAAGUACAAGAGUAACUGCUUGUACCUUGACGGUACCUAACCAGAAAGCCACGGCUAACUACGUGCCAGCCGCCGCCGUAAUAC